rnacentral:lncRNA from 1 species
GCACGGUGGCGCGGACCAACGACGCCGACAUGUCCACGUCGCGGCACCCGCAGCCUCCGGCUGGAGCGUGGGGACUCAACUUCUCUCCAUGGACACGGCGGGCACUUUGACGCCACAAGCUCCUGCGCAGGCGCCACAGGCCCCGCCUCCCGUCGCCCGUCCCGCUCCACCAUUGGACAGUCCGGGCCUUCCGUAUGGCGUACACUAACGACAGACCCCCCGGAAGUGGGGACACGGCUCUGUGACUCUGGAGCUGCUUCGAUAGUAAAGCAAGCGGGUAGACACCAUACGACAGGUUUCCAGUUAUUGAAAUGUCACUCUUGUGUAGCAGUUUGUGUCAAGAAAACUGAGCACGUACGUAGCUACCAGCCUCGCAUGGAAGCACGGGCAUGGUGGCUCUAUCCGAGCCUCUGAGAGCGAGCGCCCUGGGCGCUACGUUAGCAUCGGUUCUUGAGUCCCGAUCCCGGGCCCCGUGCACAUUUGGCUAGCCUUUCCUGCUAGCCGGUCCCAUUUGAUUAGCUGUGCGCCUGUCACCACGCCUCGGCUUCCUUCGCGGCCCGUGAUGACGUAAGAACGGGAGCUCCUUUAUCUCGGAGCAGCAGCUGGCCCCGUGCGGGAACUGGGUGGGCGUGGGGAGUACUGAGGGGUUUGCUACCCCUGAUCGCCCCCUUAUGGUUCCAGGAAGGCCGAGGGAGGGAAAUGGAUUCGGCCUCAGGUCUAGACGGAAAGAACAAGUGUUUUCUUUUCCAGUGCGAUCUCACUGGUCUGACUAGAAGGGGCAGUUUCCCCGUCCGAAAUGGGGACUUUGCCAUGCUGGAACACUGACAGAGAAGCUUGCCAAAGCAGUUCACAGUGAGCAAGAGACUGUUAGAAGGUGAAGAUCGGGUGUUCAGAACUCCUGCUGUAAAAACUGGAUUCUGAGUUUCCGCUGUUUUAGAACAGAACAGGGCAUCGGCCCUGGCCCUGCGAUCGCUUGCAGAGGAAGCUUUGACUUGGCCAUGGCUGCGAGCCUGCUAUCUUAUCCGCUGAGAAGCGUGCCUCACUUGUCUAAUGGUAUCAGUAUAAGCCAUCAAAAACACCAGGCUGCUGGGCAGAAUUUUUUUUAAGAAUCAAAAUGUAGGAAACCUUUUUAAGGCUAGAAGAAAACAUGACAAUUCUGUUUAAUUUUAGGGGUAAGUACACUCCUCUCCCUCAACAACCGACAAAACAUCCAAGUAGAAAAUAACUACCAGGUAUAAAGAUUGGCCUGGCUGCGUAUUUCUUCUCCGUUCUAGGGGCAGAGGGAUAAACAACACUAAGCGCUUUUUCAGUAGGCGUGGCACUGUUCCAGCCAGAAAGCAGCGCUGUCACUUCACAGCCAGAGGCAGGAGGAAAGGAAGCAGGCCAGCAGCUGAGCAGGAGGAAAGGAAGCAGGCCAGCAGCUGAGCCGUCACGUAGCAGGGAGGCCCCGGUUGCACAACCCAUGAGUUUGAUGGUCACCAUUUUUAUUUUUUUACCAUGAUUUCCAAUUUCUUAAUGAUUUCCAUUUUGACAUGACUCUUUCAUAACUAGACUAUGACCAGUCUAGUUCACACAUAUAUGCCUCUCGUGAGUCUCCCUCGUUGUGCCAGUGUCCUUAGCAAGCUCUCUCUCUGCCCCCCAGUCUCCUGCUUGCACACCCCAGACCCGGUGCACAGCUAUCAAAGGGGAACAGCAUGGGCACCCUAUUAAGGAGAUGUGUACUGUCAGCGCUUUGGUUGACUUUUCUAAUGACUCAUAAGAAAAUAAUGUGGAUAAAAUUACACGUUCAAAGUUCGAUUUUAUUUCAAAAUGAUAAAUAAACCGGCAUAGUUCUGACUCUGUACUAUUUCAGAAAGGCUUGUGAAGUUCAUUAACAGUUUAGAGAGGGCUCCAGUCAGACCAGAAGGUUGCCAAUCAAACUUGUGAUUGGCAGAGACAGCAGCCUCUUUGAUCUUCAGAGGUUUGUAAAAGCUCUCCACCCUAAUUUCUGUGUAUCAUAAAAAGUAAAAAGCACUUUUAUUCUGUCCUUUUCUCCUUUAAUUUUUCUUUUUUAAACCAGCAAAAAAGGACUACUUAUUUUUAUGACUUCAUUUUUAUGAGCACAACAGUUCUGUCAAUUACUUAGAGAAGGAAGCCCUCAAAGAUGUGCCAGUGGUGCUGUGGUCGUCCACCGAGGCCCACACUGACAGGUGCUUGCAUUCCAUGCUAUCAUUUCUACAAUGAGCCAUGAAGAAUGCUUGUAGACCCUAUGUACAGCAGUAUAGUCCACAUGUCCUUGAUGUGCGUCCAUACCACGAUCCAGGAACAACAGAGAGAAUCCCCUCUUGGAAAUCAAAAAGGGGAUGUGUAGGGAAAGAGGGCUAACUCCUCUGGUGAGCAGCACACUAUUUUUAGAGUGCUUUGAAAGAACUAAAAUCCAUGACGCUGUAGUCAUUGAAUUCUGGCCCUCAUAUUUUUCUUUUAAGUUGACUUUCUAUUAAAAUCUUCAAAUCUCUGGAGAUUGGUGGUAUAGUUAGACUAUAUUAAAAUUUUUCUUUUCCUUAUUAACAAUUUCAUUAAAAUUUAAAAAAUUACGAUGCCCCUCAACUGUUACGUUGAAGCCUGAUCUGUGUCACUGUGUCCUGUGCCAUGAACCUAAUUUCCCAAGUGGCCACGGACACCUGAGUGGCAUUUCCAGUGCUGCAGUUCCUUCCCUCAUGAUUCCUGCUGGGUCCUCUUCACUGAGGCUCUCCCCUGAGUCAUAUAUUUACUGGAAAGGCUACCUAGGAGGGAAAACAAAAUCCAACAUAAACGAAAAGAAUGGUGUUUGAGCAAAGUCACACAAUACUUAUUGUCAGUUACUGACAGACACGUGUCCCACCACAAAGGGCACUCGUCCUGAGUCGAGCAGUUAGGCUAGGUAUAAACAAGUGCACAGCCAUCAGAGGCACUGGGCAGUGCUUAGACACUGCUUCCUCAGUGCUGGUAAGGUACAGCCCCGAGGCUGUUCAAUGCAGCCACAGGCAGGCACUGAGGCUGGAAGAAACAUUUUGAAAGUUCUUUACAUAGGAUAUUCUUUUUGUUUGUAGCUCACAGACUGCAAAGAGAUCGCUGGCCAGAAAUUAGUACCUCAUACCAUUACCCUUUAGAAGUCUAGUAAUACCUUAUGGAUGUACAAGGAGAAAAUAAAAUUCUCUGUACUUAAUUAGUAGUGAAGCCAUCCACAGCUUACAACAUGUACUGUGUUCUGGAGUCUGAGCACAUACAAGAGGGAAUGAGAGCCCAUGUGGCUACUACUGUACAAUGAAGGCUCUACUCAAACCAAUGGAAGGAAUGCAAAGGGUUUAGUAACUGGUACCAUGCCAGCUACAGGUUUUAAAAGCAGAAUCUCAUUGUGAGGCCUUGGAUGACUUAAAAUUCAUUAUGUAGCCCAGGCUAGCCUAGAAUUGCUUUUUGCCUGCUUCUGAGUGUGGGGAUUAAAUACUACACCAUGACCACCACACCUGGCUUGCACCCAUAACUUCUGAGGGGGAGAAGGAAGCUAGCUCCCUUCUUAAACUGUCACUCUUGUCAUUUCCAAAUGAAGUGUAGAAUUAAAUGUAAGUCAUCAGAUAAGGAUCAAGGUGGAAGCAAGGCUUUUAGGUAGCUUUGGUUAUAGCCAUGGACUACUGCAUCAAGAAGACUUGUGGUUGACUCUCAUCUGUGGAUCUGUGGGCUGUUACUAUGGUCCCUGAUAGAAAGGUGAAACAACGCUUUUCUCUCGAGUCUCUCUCCCGGCCCAGGUCGACAGCUGCCCUCACUGGCUUGGCUUUCGCAGCUGCACACGGUGAGACUCACAUUUAGAAACUGGGACAAGAAAAUGAAAACCCAACCCUUCCCUUCGGAACUGGUGCUUACUUCCUCCUCAUGGGACAGUCCUUCAUGAAGUGCCCGAUUUUCCCACAAAUUCGGCAGCACCUGUCAUUUGGGGCCAGUUCUCCCUCAGUUAGGACAUCCGGAUCAAAAAAGUAUGCCUACAAGAACACAGCUGUGUAAGAUGAACUGUGAACAAGACCAUGGCACACCAUGAAAUCAGUGUGAGAACAGGUUGCCUACUUCUGGAGGAAAUCCUGAGGAAGACUCACUAACCAGGUCAUUUAGUGGUGUCCAUUCUGUGUCACAGUAGAAGUUGCAAACAU